AGCUCCAAUAGCGUAUAUUAAAGUUGUUGUGGUUAAAAAGCUCGUAGUUGAACCUUGGGCCUGGCUGGCCGGUCCGCCUCACCGCGUGUACUGGUCCGGCCGGGCCUUUCCCUCUGUGGAACCUCAUGCCCUUCACUGGGUGUGACGGGGAAACAGGACUUUUACUUUGAAAAAAUUAGAGUGCUCCAGGCAGGCCUAUGCUCGAAUACAUUAGCAUGGAAUAAUGAAAUAGGACGUGUGGUUCUAUUUUGUUGGUUUCUAGGACCGCCGUAAUGAUUAAUAGGGACAGUCGGGGGCAUCAGUAUUCAAUUGUCAGAGGUGAAAUUCUUGGAUUUAUUGAAGACUAACUACUGCGAAAGCAUUUGCCAAGGAUGUUUUCA
rnacentral:rRNA from 1 species